rnacentral:tRNA from 1 species
ACUUUUCUAGUAUAACUAGUACAAAUGAUUUCCACUCAUACAGUCUUAAAUUAACCUAAGGAAAAGUA